GAUGAAGACGUAGUGAAAUGCGAUACGUAGUGUGAAUUGCAGAAUUCAGUGAAUCAUCGAAUCUUUGAACGCACAUUGCACCUCUCGGUAUUCCGGGAGGUAUGCCUGUUCGAGCGUCAUUUGUACCCUCAAGCUCUGCUUGGUGUUGGGUGUUUGUUCCGCCUCUGUGUGUGAACUCGCCUCAAAACAAUUGGCAGCCGGCGUACUUGUUUCGGAGCGCAGCACAUUUUGCGAUCCAGAUCAACGUACAGCGGCAUCCAAGAAGCCUUAUUUAACGCUCUUGACCUCGGAUCAGGUAGGGAUACCCGCUGAACUUAAGCAUAUCAAUAAGCGGAGGA
rnacentral:misc_RNA from 1 species